rnacentral:lncRNA from 8 species
CCAUGCGGACCCAGGUGAAAAAGAGCAAAUAAAUUGGCGCGGGGCCUUCAUACGUUUCUCUAUGACGUUUGAUAAGUGACGUUGUACUGGUGACGCUGUCCUGUGUGACUCAGUGUGUCUGUCUGUCUGUCUGUCUGACUGUCUAUGUCCUUGUCAUAUUGAGCAGUGUAGAGAGGGACUACAGCCACUGACAUCCACUCUCUGUUUGUCUCUUUACACCAACAUCACAGAGAGGGGGGGGGGGGGGGGGCGAUAGUGAGAGAAAGAAUAGGAAAGGGGGAGGGAGGGGAGGAGAGGAAGGGAGAGAGACGAGGAGUGAGGAGGGGAGGAGGGAUUUCGAUUCAAAGAGAAGGGAGGGAGAAGGAGAGCAAAGGGGAGGGCUUAGGGAAAUAGAGAGCAUGAUUGAGUGAGAGAGAGAGAGGGAGCGAGAGAGCGUGUAAAGCAUGUUGCUGCUGCUGGCUCUGUAAUGCACUGUGAGCAAAGGACGAGAAAGAAAGAGAGAGAGGGAAAGAGGGAGUCACACACACACCCUGUCUCUUGCACGCACGCACACACACACACACACACACACACACACACACACACACACACACACACACACACACACACACACACACACACACACACACACAGAAACUGAGAAGCGUCUUGCUCAGGAGAUUGAGAGACAUGCACGCACUCUCACUCUCUCACACAUGCACACACACACAGGGGGAGUGGUGAAGGCAGGCUCCGGUGCGUUUUGAAGCAGCAGUGAGAGUAAGAGAGAGGACUAGCCAGUACAGAGGACAGACGACUCUUAAGCUUGAACGGACCGUCACCUACCUACCAGCCCCCAGCCGAUGAGCCACAGCCACGGCCACAGCACCGUGAUAAAAGGGGUUAUGCCAGGAGAGCUUGAAAGGAAGGGAAGAUCCAGCUCUCCGUCCAUCCAUCUGUCCGUCCGUCCCGCCUCUCUUCAUCCUCAUCCCCCUUUUUUUCGGAGCCGAUAUCUCAGGUCGGACUGUCCCAUUUUGAAUUCUUUCCUUUUCUCUCAUCAUUCUCUUGUUUUGAUGGAGGGAUGUUAAAGAUCAGGUGAAGAUAGGAGGAGCUACAUUGUGGACGUCUGCCCUGUCGUUUAUACAUUCUUUGUUUGUUGUUAUGUCAACGAUCCCUCAUUUUUCCUCCUCCUGACUGAAUUGAAGAGUGUGUGUGAGACGCAGGACUGGAGCCUAUGAGGACUUUGAGACUGAUCUGUUUUGAUAUGAUUCGGUCGUCAGGCAAAUUCUUUCCUAUCCUCACGGAGCUGUAUCAAAGUUAGCUGGAGCUCCAGGGUGAGGAGGGGGCCGUGGGGAGGGCCUGUGGCCCACGACGGAGCACCCACAUUGGGACACAUGCAGAGAGGGACACUGGCAUAGUGGUUCUUCUCACCCACUGUUUUCUGUGUACAGGAAAAUGACAACAUUAGUUUUCUAUUGUCCUGUUGCCACAUUGACGGAGGGACAGUGUCAUACCAGGGCAACACCUGAACAAUAUCAACGGUAACAGCAAGGACAGGCAACAGCCAUAUCUAAAAGACAACAACAGUUAAACCACCAGUGACAGCAACAACGCACUGCAUCUAACCAAACCUCAAUCAGCCAACACCUGAUAACUUUGGGUGGGCCUUUGACAAGGACUCCACCUCUCCAUCUCUCCAUCCCCCUCUCUCCACCUCUCGCUCUGCUGUGGUGUUCUUCUCCCUUCAUCCUCCAGCGAGAAUCCCCUAGUGACCCCCACUCUGCAACUAUAUUUAUCCAGAUAUUGUUGACAUUAUAUUGACAUUUAUAUGUCAAUCUAGGCAAGUUUGCUCAAAGGAUUCUGGGUAAUCACCCCGGGCGGUGCUCCAUCGCCCUGGGUGAAAGGGCAGGGGGGCGGCCCACGGUUCCCCCCGACCACAACCGGGUGAA